rnacentral:lncRNA from 1 species
ACAGAGGAUCAUCCACUCUCGGCGUCAUGAGAGGAAUAUCCCAUGUGUUCUUGCUCAGACAAAUCCCUGGCCAGGGUCAUUCGGGUUGAGAGAGAAAGAGUUCUCCGGGAGAAUCCGAUUAGAGCGAGACUCGAGUAGAAACCGUAUGGGUCUGACAGCACCAUACUCGAUAUACGGUCUCUGGGAUAUUAGAUGGAUGAGGGAUUAUAGGUACAUGGUAACUGAGGACAGACAGG